rnacentral:rRNA from 1 species
GGGUUGUCAUGCCAAUGGCACUGCCCGGUAGCUAAAUGCGGAAGAGAUAAGUGCUGAAAGCAUCUAAGCACGAAACUUGCCCCGAGAUGAGUUCUCCCUGAGACUAUAAGUCUCCUGAAGGAACGUUGAAGACGACGACGUUGAUAGGCCGGGUGUGUAAGCGCAGCGAUGCGUUGAGCUAACCGGUACUAAUGAACCGCGAGGCUUAACCUUACAACGCCGAAG